UCGGCUCAAACUCGGUUAUUUUGGUUUGUUUUUUCUUUUUAGUUUUGUAUUCAAACAUUAGUUAGUAGUUUUUUCGGUUUUUUUGGCUUGCACAAUCAGUUCGAUUAUUGUGAUCGUACGAGGUUUUGUGUUUUGCAAAAUGAUGUCCCCUUACAAUGCAUAUUAGGUGGAUCGCCUUCUGACGAUUGAUGAUAGUGCUUCAUUGUAACAAUGGCUUCGACCAACUUUAAUAAUUGGAAUUCAACAAUGAUAGUACGUUUUGGUUGAAAAAAAAAUAACUCUCAAAGAAAAAAUAUUAUUAUUAAUAAUAACAAACUGAAUAUAAUAAUUCUACUAAAAAAACGUUUC
rnacentral:lncRNA from 1 species